UUGGGAGGUCCGCCCGUCCCGUCGUACACCGCUCCAGCAGGGAGACGCUCUAGACAGGAGUUCUCGGCAGGCGGCGGCUGACGUUGGACAACAAAGAUGGCGGCGGGGAGCAGCAACUACUGGGAAGAUCUCAGGAAGCAGGCGAGGCAGCUGGAGAACGAGCUGGACCUGAAGCUGGUUUCCUUCAGCAAGCUCUGCACCAGCAGCCGGGACGGGCGGCGCGACAGGUAUAGCUCUGACACCACUCCUCUCUUAAAUGGAUCGAGCCAGGACAGAAUGUUUGAGACGAUGGCUGUGGAGAUUGAGCAGCUUCUAGGAAAGCUUACUGGAAUAAAUGACAAAAUGGCAGAAUAUACAAAUAGUGCAGGAGUUCCAUCCCUGAAUGCUGCACUGAUGCACACAUUACAGCGUCAUAGAGACAUCUUGCAGGAUUAUACUCACGAAUUCCACAAAACCAAAGCGAACUUCUUGGCAAUAAGAGAAAGGGAGAAUCUGCUGGGAUCAGUACGAAAAGAUAUUGAGUCAUAUAAAAGUGGGUCUGGUGUGAAUAACAGAAGAACAGAACUAUUCCUGAAGGAACACGAGCACCUUCGGAACUCAGAUCGACUGAUAGAAGAAACAAUAAGCAUUGCCAUGGCAACGAAAGAAAAUAUGACUUCGCAGAGAGGGAUGUUGAAGUCGAUACAUAGCAAGAUGAAUACCUUGGCUAAUCGGUUCCCAGCAGUGAACAGCCUGAUUCAGAGGAUCAACCUCCGGAAACGAAGGGAUUCAUUCAUCUUGGGCAGCAUCAUUGGCAUCUGUACCAUCCUACUGCUGCUCUUUGCCUUCCAUUGAUGGAUGUUCCCCCAAUGGACUCUGCUAAACUCAUCACCACCAUCCCUCCCCCCAGCCAAGGGAAAGUGAGUGGGGGAAGAGAUGGACUUCCAGCAGCCCGCUCCCCCUGGCUGGGGCUGUCAGCAUGAUGUCUAGAGUUGAUGAUGACAGACUGCAACACUGGUUUGGGGUUGAAGCUGCAGUGUUUCUCCUUCCCUGCCAUACAUCUUCCUUUGGUUAAAUUGGGUGGGUUUUUUAAUUGUUUUCCUCCUUUAGUCCCUUUCUUACUGCAAGGUAAGUAAAUACGGCCACUUAACAACACCAGUAGAACAGCUCCUGUGCUCAGUGGUGCUGGGGAGGUGCAUUGCUGACCAACAGGUGGGAACAGCAGGAACCCUGCUUUGCCUGCAGGCACUUUUGGGCACUGUUGUCCAGCAAGAAGAAUAUUGCAGCUUUAAGCCAUCAGGUUGCUUUAACUACUAGCUACGUGUUCUGUAAUUCUUUUUAACUCAUGGUUGAGGUAAUAGUUCUUUCUACAUCGUUUGUGCUGUGAAAACUGUGCUUCACACAAACUCCUCAAAGAAAAGGAUUGCUCCGUUCUCUUUUUUGCACAGAAUCUGAAUUAACCUCCCUCUAGGAGCAGUGAUAAGGUUUCUUGUGGCUUUAAAGGGACUAAAUGGGUCCCCUUCAGUCAGUGAGGGAGCACAGUGCCCUCAGCAGCUGCUUACCAUCCAUAGUGUUCAGUCAUCUGAAAAGUGACCAAACGUGAGUUCACCUAAGAGCAGUCAGGAUUUUGGCUGACGUCAUAGAGGUCUUUAUAAAGACAACGGCUGAGAAAUCUAUAUUGUAAUUUACAUAAAGUUCUUCUAAUAGCAUUAAUAUUUUUACACUGUAAGUAAGAUCUAAUCUACACUGUCAGUUGGAAGUGAAAACGAUGAUGGUUCUACCUGAGGCGAAUGCAUCUGAGUGCAGAGGUUUUGGACACACCUCCUCAUAGUGAAGAGUUGAAUGUAAAAUAGCAAACCAAGUUUUAUUUACUGUUAUAUGGGGAAGUUGGUCCUGUCCAGGUGCACAAACCCUGAUGUGUUUGUGUUGAUAACGGAUGGCAGGAAGGGCUUUGAUAUUGCAGAACCACAAACGAUGGAUUUUUCUUUCUGCUCUUUUUCUCCACCUGUCAUAUGAUAACCCAAUGAAUCCCAUUGAAGCACUGGAAUGUCCAAAGGGCUUAAUCAGCUCUUUUGCAGUGCUCCUAAGAGAUUCCAUGUAUGCCAUUGCCACGGAUUUCAGGUACCCUCCAGGUUAUCUUCCUAAACAGAGCCUAGUGGGACAGUCACAGUGUUGUGCUGCUUUCCUUUGGUCUAGGGGGGUUUGGGGUUUGUGCCUGUGUGGUGUGCAGCCCACACUGUCACCCCUAAAACGUUCGUAUGGGUUGGAAGCUUAUUCUGCAAAUAAGGACUUUGUGCUAAAAGGUCCACAAAGGCUUCCAGUCUGUUGUCAACGGGAUUAGAAAGCAUCUGGAAUUAAUACAUGUAAAUAAAGGGUGAUUAUUUGGUUGAUCUGGGAAUAUUCCUGGUUUGAUAUAAAGCGUUUAUUAAAGGGCUUUAGGAAAAACCAUGUUGGAUAAAGGGAGUUCAUUAAUGAAGCUGUGUGUUGGGAGAUCAGCCCUUAUCUCCCCCAUCCCAUCCCAUGCAGGACCCCAGCUGGCAGUUGUGCAUCUGCUUUAGGAUCUGUAGGAUUUGGCUGCUCUGUGGAGGGCGCUCUGAGAUCUGCACUAUCAUAAAUAAACUCAUUUCCUUAAUCUGGUAACCCGUCUUUUUACUGGACUUAAUUGUCGAUUUGGUGCAUAUAUUUAAUCUUAUUGUGUGAAAAUGCUGCUAUGGAAAGUAUGUAAUUAUAUGUAAACGGGAUCGAUUUUUUCUUUCAUGUUACGAAGAUGUUUUGGAGGAACUGAUUUAUUUUGGCACAAGAUAAAUAUGCUGAAUUAUCUCUGAUAAAGCUUGACUGGAAGUGCUGGCUCCGCUCCUUCCAUGCGGUUCUUAAUCUUUAGGAAAACGUGGUGUUGAACAGAUUUCAUGUCUGGAAUUCCCAGCACUGUUGUAACUCAACCAGGUCCUGCUGUGGUGACUCCUCAGCCCUCAGACAGACCCCAGUGUUUGUGGCCGUGCUAUUUCUGCCUGUCUGAGCCUCCCUCUCUGUUUGCUGGAGCCCAUGGGCAGCACUGGGUGUGUGUUUGGUCAGCACUGAGCAUUGUUGUGGCAGAACCGAGGAUGUCAGGGUUCCUGCUGCCGUGGGGAGGCACAGUGGGUUUGUGGUCAAUACUGAGCUCAAGAGCUUUGGGUGUCAUCGUGCUGGAAGCUCCUUCUGGGUUCAUUGCACUGAUUGAGCAGAACCUUUUGUAGCUCUGACAGUCCUCUCUUUCCAAGGUCUUAAGGUUGCUGUGAGAAGAACUGGUUCCUCACUGGAUGAUGCUGAAAACGAAAGAGCAGAAGAUCAUGUUUGUAGGUGAUGUAAAAGUUCCAGCUCUGUGCUGACCCUUCGUCCUCCAGGAGCCCCAUUCCCAGCUGGGGAGGCUCCCAUUUGGUCGGGUUCAUUGGGCCUCCCCAAACCCAGCAGCUUGUUUGCCAACAUCACCCCACGCAUAACAACUUCUUAUGUAUUUUUGUUUGCCAAAACCUUUCAUAUGGAGCAGACAGGAGGGGUGAUGGGAAGAAAGAACUCUGAAACUCCUUCUAAGAGUCCUGGAUUACAGCAGCCCUCAGAGUGGGGGUCCUGUUUAACAACACACGGCCAAGGAGUGCAAUGGGACAGAACUGAGCCCCUUACUGGGUGACAUCAGAAAUCCUGCUGAGAUCCAUGGGCUGGAUGCACCAACCCAGCGCUGCACAGGGUGAGGAGAAGUGGUUUAAAUCAACGCUCCCUCAAAAUGAAACCACCAUCACCAUAAAAAAGCCAUCAACCAACAAAACCUUCCUGACUAAACAUCCCAGCCCGGACUUGUCACAACACCAGGCGUGGACCUGCACUUGGAGCUCAGUGCAAGCAGCGUGGAAGCCCAGAGCCAUGAACCACAGCAUCUCAUAACAGCACCCACAGUCGGCUUGGAGCUGCCCCUGCAUGAGCCGCAGCCUGGGGAGGUGCUGCAGCAGUGAUGAAUCCCUGCAUCCCUCGUGUGCCUGCAGACUGAUGGGGAACCGCCACUGAGGUCUGUCUGAAUCCUCACCCCGUGAUGUGCAGUGCUGGGAAGCAGAUCGCAGCCUCUUCAGGUGCUGUUCCUCACCCUCCUUGCCCAUCCCUGUCCCACGCACUGCUCUUGGAAGAGGAAUCAGAAUCCUUCAGCUUGAGUCCUGCUGAAGAUGCUCCUGGAGGAGCUGGUGGCCUCUUGCUGCACAUUGCAGACCCCGCAGGUCCCAUUUUGCUGCUGUUUGUGCAGUGGAAACUUCCUUCCAGCGCUGCCCAGACACACAGGCUGCUCCCCGGCCCCGUGCUGAGCUGGCUGUGUUGGUGCUGAGCCAUCACAUUCGUACGGCCGCCUUCGCUCGGAGCUCUACAGGAACAGCGCAGGUGGAAAUAAAGGAGCUGCGAGGAGUCCCAGAAAGUGCUGAGCGGUGACAGCAUGACAAUUAAUUCCAUUCCAGGUUAACUGUGCAGCAGGAGGACGUGCCAUCAGUGCAGGGUGGUGCAUCCUCAUGCUCCGGUGGCACAGCGCUGGGGGCAGCAAGCGGUUUCCCCAUUGCUCUAUAAUGGAGUUCCCUCUGGGUCAGGCGUGUGUCACCAGAGCUAAAUUUACCCACAGCCAUCAGCGAGGUGGGGCGGUGAGUCAGGCUGUGACAGCCUCAUGGCAGCGGGUGGAGGGGGCUGCCAACCCCCAGCAAUAGCCCGUCCCAAAUCAGCAUUCAGCCCACGGUGCACACAGAGCAGGGCAAGGGAACAGCCAGCUGCUAUUCCUGGGUUUCCCGAUGUUUGGGGGAAUUUGAAGAGUUUCCAACCUCUAUUUUGGUUUAGAAACGUAUAAAGGAGAAACAAAGCUCA